CCCUCUGCCAAAUCCCCAAAUCAAUCUCUCUUCCAAAUCCCUAAUUUCAUACUGCAGCCUAUCCCCUUUCUGCUUCCUCAUCUCGACGUAACUCCCGGCGAGGAUCAGUCAUCGUUGCUCACGCCCUCCUCCGGCGUUUCUCUCUCUAUCUCACGCAUUCCCUUGUUUCCCCUUUCUCGUACUUCAGGAACCUCCCACAGUCUGGAGAUUUUCGAUAUAAGUGGGGUGUAGCGCCGCCACUGCCUCCGACUUCUCACCGCCGGUUCUCCUUCCAAUCGGCGGAUUUACCGAUUUGGGGGCGGGGGGGGGGGGGGAGGCGUCGCCUCUUCCCUCCCCUGUCCAGUCGGAACGCCAUCUCGACGGAUGCCGGGGCUCCGUCGGUUUAUCUCCGCGCGACGACCGAACCUCCUCCGUCGAGCUCUCCGCCCUAGUCGGAGGCCGUCGAUGCUUCGCGAGGUUCCCGCUGCUGCCGCUGUUCGGGCGGGACUCAAGGCGCCUCACCGUCGUUCGUGCGAUUUCUCCAGCGGUGUCGCCGCCUCCGCGUGAUAAAGCUAAGUCACAUCCCCCUUCCCCCGUUGUUUCGUUGUCGUCGUUACUCAGUUACUAUGCUUGUUCUUGUUUUGUUGUAAGUUGGGCAGUAGCUAUGUGAGAUUGUGAUCUUGACGAUUGAGUGUAUUGUGUGAUCUACUGUGGUGGCCUGCACCUCUCGCUAAGGCUAAGUUCUUCCGUUUUCUUGGCUUAAGCAGCCCUUAUUGUUUUGUGGCAUACUUGGUUAUUGAGGCUAAGCCUAUGUGAUACUUGUUCAUGUUGUUGUGGAUAUCCUAUCGAGUUCUAUACUCGGCUAACUAUCGUUCUAACAUGAUGCAAGAGAGGGUAUGGGGGUGUUUGUCGUUACCUCUGCCUGGGGUGUUCCCUUCGGCAGAUGGCAUUGCUCUAUUUUUUUGUUAAUGCAAGAGAGGGUAUGGGGGUGUUUGUCGUUACCUCUGCCUGGGGUGUUCCCUUCGGCAGAUGGCAUUGCUCUAUUUUUUGUUAAUUUUCAAAGGUCCUAUAUUACACUUAUAAUUGGAUUUGUGUGCUGAUUGAUGCAAGACAACAAACAUAAACGGAUGGAAAGAAAAUCUUUAUUUUGACUUGGUUGCUUUACUAGCGACUUUAUUCUCUGUGGUUUUUUUCCACUGCAUCAUGUAACAGUAUGUUUGUUUUCGCUUUCCUUUUUUUGCUUUAAGUUGCUUUUGGUUGCUUCUCAUUUUUCAUUCUCAAUAUUAUGAGAUUUGCAGUCAGGUUUAAAAGUAUUUUAACAAGUUUUUUUGUAGUUAUCCUGACAACCUUUCUGCAUAAUUUCCUAUAGUUUUCUGUAACAGCAGUUGCUAAUGCUUUUGCAUAAACCACAACUUUCUAAGAUCAUAAACUCACCCAUCAUUUGUAUGAUAUGAGCUACUUAAUGCUUUAUAGGUUUUUUAGUUCCACCUCUCCAGAGCCCUUUAACCUUUAACCUUUAAUAACUUUGAUUCACAGCUCCUUAUCUUCACAUUGAUCCUAGCUCUUUAUUAAUUUAUCUUCCCUGUUUUUUGUACUUGAAAUAUAGUCAUUCUCAACAUCUGGCAACAUAUUUUUUACGUGUGUUAUGAUGUGGUUAUAUGCGUAUACAUCCUCAGUAUGCCCCUUAAUUCAUAUAUCAUCAUAUGUUUUCUUCAGAUAUUGCUUGAAGAUAUGAAGAUAUCAGAACAACUGAUUGACCUGGUCUUUGAUCUGUUGUUUGUAGAUAUGUACUUACUACUUCGUAUCCAGGAAUCUCACACCAUUCCCAAUGACAUGGUUCUUCUUCAUGCGGCUCUCGUAGCUUGCAGUCUACAAUUGUUGACAGUCAUUGUUUCUCCACAUUACCAAGAGGUUGCUCAAGCAUUGACUGAUAAUUACAAGGUGUACAUAUUCAAAGAGGCAGCAUUUGCUGCUGUUUGUGUAGAUGUCAAGUAUCUGCAGACCAACGAUUCAUCUAGAAGUGCAUCCCCUACUACUGAAGAGACCUUGAAUCAUCUCUGGCAGCAGUGUGAUUCUUCUCUUCAAUUUCUACAGCCCCUGUGUCAGCAAAAGUUGUUCCGGGAAUGCAUUGUUAACAACCAGGAGCUUGGGAAGUGGUGGACUGCAGAGCAACUAGCUUCCUGUGUUGGACUCGGCCUUGAUGAAAAAAGGAGUAGCUCUACUUCUCAUCUUUGUAGUUGUCAAAAUCCUGGUCUUUGAGGAUUCUGUUUGCAGGACUUGCAUCUAAAAAAGAAAUCGUGGGCCUUGGAAACUGGUUCAUGACUCAAUUAGUGUCAAGUAAAGAUACUUUAUAUGAGGAAUGGAAAUUGCAGCUUGUUGCCACUAUGUGGCAAAUACUUGACUACUUCGAUUUCUGUAUAUUUGAGUUUGUUUUCUUUACCUGUCCGUUUGAUGAUUAUGAUUGAUACAACAAAUUCUGGUUUACUGAGUGAACAUAAGAACAGAUUAAUAGUGUUGUAAUAUACUAUUCAACUUAACUAUGAGUUGUAAUGUUACCCCGUUCUAAAAUUUUCAGCUUGCCUGUAAUGUUUAUCCUUUGUGAAUGCUUCUGCUUGUGUAUUGCUGCAUCAACUUGUGACUCACCAUAUGCUGUGUAUUGCUGCAUCAACUUGUGACUCACCAUAUGCUGUGUAUUGCUGCAUCAACUUGUGACUCACCAUAUGCUGUGUAUUGCUGCAUCAACUUGUGACUGGUGAUGUUGUGUAUUGCUUGAGCUGCUUUAGAUGCUUUGGGGAAGCUUGCAAAUUCAAGAGUUUGUUCCUUCCUAGGUUAUUGGUUAAUGUUAUUGUUUUGAAUUUUAGUCUAACCUUGGAUUUAUGACAUUCCCAUGUUUUCCUUCGAGAGUAAGGUAUUAGAGCAGUUUCUGGACCGUCUCAUUGAGUAGUACUGCUCCAGUUUAGUUUUGACCACCUCACUAUUUAUUCCAGCGAGUUGAAGGGUAUAAAGCUGCAACCAAUAUUUGAUUCAAUAUUCAAACUUUUAUUUAUUAAAUCUAACUUUAGUUCGAUAUUAAGUGUGUCAUUUCAUACUAAAGCCAUCAAUGAAGAACUUCUGCAUAAUCAGAUGCUCUACACUUGUCUGUACCUGAUAAAAUUGAAGUUGGUCUAGCUUUGUCUAAUUCUGAAGAACACGAUACCAGGAUGUGUGG